rnacentral:sRNA from 1 species
UCCCAGCCUUGUAGCAUAGGUGCUGAGCUUUUCCUCCAGCUAGGUUACAGACUCGGACCUUUACAAGGAGAUUAACUUUGCCGGUCCGCCGGGCAAGAGGAAAGGAACUGCGGACACCAUUCAGGUGACUCAAGAGACCUGUUGCUGCAUAUGCCUGUCUCUUCAUUUAAAGCUUUUGUGGAUUUAUCUGGGUAUCUGCAGUUUUGGAAACCCCCUGUGUCUCAGGAAAACUACAUAAAAACUAUGGUUUACUUAGUGACUGUAACAUUUCUGCUCUGCCGGUUGGAGGACCAAAUUCACGUAGAUGUUCUUUUAGAUGGAGGUCACAACCAACUCUUGCAGCAGAAAAUGACUUUGCUAUUUGCUCCUCUUUUGCAUGAUUCUCAACCUGAAGCAAAAUGACGCUGCCCCACUUCUUGGUGGCUAAGUGUUGUCUAAAUGUUAGGGUAGGGUGGAGAACCUGCUCUAGACCGGCUCUUCAUUCCUUUGCUAUUCACGCCUUGGGGCAAUUGGACUGACUGAGCAGCCUGAACCUGAUAUAAUUCAAGCUACACAGUGAAGGUGGACAGAGAAAGAAGAGGAGGAAGGCUCAACAGCCCUGAGCUGACUGCACCAGGAUUCCAAUGGACUCCAAAGAGCUCUAUCUGGAGAUAUCCCUCAGGAGUUGGUAGUAUUUUUCCAUAUCUGCUGCCUCCUGUUUGAAAGCCCAUGACCCUUCAAUAGUACCCCCAUGUAUGACCUGAAGUCACCCAAGAGCCAGGAAAUCCCUUGUCAUCCCAGCCUUGGUAAGUUUUGGUUGCCAUCAGCCAUGUCACAAAUAGAAUUCAGGUUUCCCAGUCAGUCUUUCCAGGGACCCAACUCACCUCUCUCUGUUUGGGUUUCCAUGCUGACAUUUAGAAAAACAACAGUCACUCAACUCACAGAGCCUUUUCUCUAUGCUCUGUACUAAUUUUAAUAUUGACUUUCUCCUAAAAGCUCCAAAACAUUUUAAGGAUCCCCCCCCUUUUCUUUUUUGCAAGAUUAAGCUUCCAAGCUUGUAUUUUUAAAGUGCUUCCAAAUUUUUUCUUAACAUAUGUUGCACGAAGUCUGUCCUAUUAACAGAACCCAAUCCUCUUCCAAAUAGUAGAAAAAUCCAAAGACUUAGCCUUUCCGAUAGCAUUUCUGGGCUGCACAAUUGCUUUGAGCUUUGUGCUUAGUUCAGACCAUUUCGACUGGGUUGGGUUCUCCCAUAUCGUUUGUCUGUAACCGUCAAAGAUUCUGAGGACAAACCACUUCAGAAACACUCAGUUCGAUGUCUGUCUGGGUAAGGACACUUUUUGUUGUGUUCAUGAGGACAGGAAAAGAAUUUUAAGAAACAAACACAGUGAUAUAUCACUUGAUUCUAACAUUUUUUUUUUUUUGGAACAGCUCUCUUUUAUACCCCCACUCCCUUCUACUCAGGAAACUCUAAAAUCACAGGAUUUGAUAAAUAUGUGUAGCAAAUUAAGAAUUUUCGAGAGGUGUUAUAUGUGUGUGUGAUUAAGCACUUUGAUGCCGGAACCACAGCACUUGGGCUUGGAGCUGCGUUUCUGCUACUUCCUUCCCAGGCAACCUUGAGAAGGUCACUCUGUGCCUCAGUUUCUAAAGGGGAAUAAUAAAAUGUAAGUGAAGAUAAAUAUCAAGUAUAUGCAAAUCUAUUUGGACAUGCCUAGUGCACAGAAGCAAUAAGUUUGAGCAAUUUCUAUAUAGCUGUAAAUACCAAGAAUAAAGCUACCUUAGGACGCAGCAAACGUGUAUUCCCCAGGACAUAGGCUAUUUUUGGGAGGAAUUUGAAAUAAGUUUCAUACAUUUUUAUUCAUUGUCUUGCAAUUUUCUCUCACUAUUUAUUUUAUUACAAUUGCCAAGAAUGAUUGGGAUUUUUAUGUCCUGUCUUGAAUUUCAAUUUACCUCAUAAGAAAUCAUCUUCCAGUAGGAAAUAGUUAGGGUUCUUCUGUGGCUGUUACUUGGGAUUAUAUGAUGCUUUGACAUCCAUUUCACGCUAGGUUUAGGAAUCUUUUUUGUUGGCUUUGACAAAAAUCUAAGCCACUGAGAUACUAGGAUGCUGUUUUGAAAGGUGUGGUAUCCACCUAUGGGAUACAGCAUGGGAGAGAUCAGGGAUACAGGACCAACCUCUAAGAAGGCCCUUCAUGAACUCUAGCCUGAUCUCUUACAGAAUCUUGGCAAGGCUUGAGGCUCAAACGAAUAUCCAAGGCGUGCUCUGGGUUGAUUGGUUCUUGAUUUACCUUGUUUGGUUAGGUUCAGGAGCUCAGUUCAGUCUGGACGUGGUGGAACGAGUCUGUAAUCCCAGCAAACUGGUAGCUAAUGAAGGAGAAUGUUAGUCUGAGAUCAUUCCAGGCUACUUGGUGAGACCCCAUGGCAAAAAAAACCAAAACAGUUCAGUUAUACUAGGAUUGAAUCAGAUAAAUGAAAAAGACAAUGCACUAAAGAACGUCAGUGUCUUUCCCAGUACUAAGACUUCCUUGUUCUAAACUUGACCCUGAAUCCCUUAUGUUCUAGACCUAAUUUAGUGACUGUUUUCUGGACUGUAUUGUUAUCUAGCUCUUCCAUGUCGGCAAAGCUCACUUUCUUGAGCAGGCACUGGCACUGACAGGCUUUUUGUGUUGUUGUUUCCUUCAGUGUGGGCUGUGGAUUCAACCAUGCUACAGCUUCACAAAGGGAUCUCAGCGCUUGUUUUCAGCUCCCAGUGUGCUAGCUCAUAUGUUGUUGCCAGGACCAUUCCCUAGAUAAUCUGCAUGCCUGGCCUUGGCAAUAGAUCUCCCUAAGGAUGCUAUCCUGUGAGUGUGCAAUUAUAACCCACGCCAAAUGUCAACUGUCUGCUCUGGAGGCCUGGAGAGUUAGGCUAUCGUAACUCUUUCCUGAAAUGUGGUGCCAGUAUAACACUGUUAACCAGACCCAGCUCUACACACACACACACACACACACACACACACACACACACACACACACACACACACACAGGACCCACAAGAGAAGCUUGGUACUACAUAUGUCUUUGAAAAUUGCAUUUUUUUCAAAUGCAAAGUCUGUUUUAAGUUGUAAGAAAAGAAGGUAGGUUGUAGAUUAAAACUGCAGACAUAUAUUUACAGGUCUGGAGGCUGACAGGUUCCAAAAGCUCUAGCAAAUUCAUUUGUUUGAUGAAGUCUCCUUUCAUGGCAUGUAGAAGGCAGCUUCUUGCCUUUGCAGGGUGGAAGGGGUGUUUUUCAGGUCUUACUUUUUGGGAGUGACUAAUUCCACUCAUGACAGUGCUGUAUUUAUGAUUUAAUUACCCCAGAGGCUCUAUCUCCACACACCAUCAUAUUGAAAGUUAGGAUAUUAGCAUACGAAUUGGUGGCAAUACAAAUAUUCAAGACAUAGUAUAUUCAUAAAAGAGCUAAAAUUAUGAUAAAGAUGUAAACAUUGGCUAAACUAUUUACAAAGUUGUAAGCCACCUGGAAGAGGCAUUUUAGCACCCGUUCUUCCUUUAUCUAGGAAUUAUAUACAGUAACAGGGUGGUCAUUUUUAUUGCUAAGAAAUGUGAGUUAUGAGUUUCCACAUCUUUAAAGCUCAUAUUGAUUACCUGAGUCAUUUUUUUAAUUGGGAAAGACUAAUAAACCAUCCAGUGGUAGAUAUUAUCUGUCAUCUAAGACAAAUGAAUGUUUGUAUGUUAAUUAUGCUUAAAAUACAAGUAUAAAUAACUUUGCCACAAGUACAUAGAGCAAGUAUUUGAUGCAGACUGAGAAUCAGAGAUGGUGUCUCAGUAAGGUUUCUCUUUUUCUCCCUUGCCCUCUUCCCUGUCUUCUUUUCUUGCUUUCUUUCCUCCCUCUUUCUGUUUGUUUCACACAUCUGCCUGUAUUUUUCUUCCUUUGAAAUCUGACUAAAGUCGGGUCAGGUGGGUGCAUAAUACCUCUGAUCCCAGCCAUCCAAAGAUUAAUGCAAAAGAAUGUGAGGCCCUGGGUAGCCUAAACUAUGCAAACCAUUGUAACAGUAGAAAGAAAGAAAACCUAGGCAAGAGUUUCUCUUAUAAUGCACAAAAGCAUUUAUUAGUGAGACUUAAAAUAGAUUAUAAACAUAUAUAACUUUGUAGAUAACAUAAACGUGUAUACAACAGAGUCAAUAAUACAUUAAAUUUCAACAAUGAUUAUUCUCUAACAAUUUGAGAUCUUAAUCCCUUCUAGCUUUCUAUGUACUUCAGGCUUCAAUGGAAAUAUUUAUAUACCUCAACAUAUUAAGCAAACGACAGUUUCAUUUCCAUCAAAUACAAUGUUGACAGCUUAUUUAAAUUUAACACAAACUGUUUUAUUACAGCCAGUAAGGCAUAUGAAGGGGUUGCUAUAUGGGUAGACAAAAAUAAAAAUAUUUCAAAUUGAGACUAUGGGAGGAAUUAAGAUAGUCCCCAGAACUUUCACUUCCUUCUUUCCCAUUCCAGGGUAACUUUUGGAUUUGAUAGUUUAGCAUUAAUAGUUUCAGGGAUAGGUUCUAGGUGUUCAAUGAAGCAAGUUAAUUUCCUUUUACAUCUGUAUUGGUUCAGGAAACACCCAAUGAAUUCCUAGCUGGGUUUACUGGCUCAUGGUUCCGUCAAUCUCCUUAGAGCUGGAUUUUUUGCUCCUUCCUUGGCUGAAAGAACAGCAUAUUUUCUCACAGUAUUUUUUGUUGUUAUUGUUGCUUUAAUGAAACACGUGAGUGUGGUAGUAUUAACUGUGAACCGUGCUUAUUUACUCCACAAACGUGGAAGCUCAGGAUGUAAACUAGACCCUGGUGUGGACGGUCUUGUGAAACGCAGUGUGUCCAUGGCACGAUUCCGUGGAAGGUUGGUUGGAGAAAGAUCCCACGGCAAGACUGAGGUUAGAGAGAAAAUCUGUUCUUUAUUAUAACAUUGCUCUUGCAACAUGAACUUCAGUCCCAGGAAGACUCUUGCAGUUCCUUCCAAAGGGGCAGUCCCCUCAGAGAUUUGCUGGCAUCCCGCUUGCCCUACUUUGUACGGUUUUCACAUCAUUUCUCAAAAUUCAUACCGAGGAUCAUGCUUCUUUCAACAUGGAUCUUUGAGAGACACACCCAAACUGCGGCCCGGAUGAACGUUUAAGUAUACUGAGGGUUUGACCUAGACACCAUCCCAACAGCUACCUUGGAGCAAAACCAAAGGACAAAGAAGAGAUGGCACGCGCAU